rnacentral:tRNA from 3 species
GACCCCUUCGUCUAUCGGUUAGGACACCAGGUUUUCAUCCUGGAAAGACGGGUUCGAUUCCCGUAGGGGUCGCCA